AUACGGAGGGGGUUAGCGUUGUUCGGAAUUACUGGGCGUAAAGCGCACGUAGGCGGAUUGGAAAGUUGGGGGUGAAAUCCCAGGGCUCAACCCUGGAACUGCCUCCAAAACUAACAGUCUAGAGUUCGAGAGAGAUGAGUGGAAUUCCAAGUGUAGAGGUGAAAUUCGUAGAUAUUUGGAGGAACACCAGUGGCGAAGGCGGCUCACUGGCUCGAUACUGACGCUGAGGUGCGAAAGCGUGGGGAGCAAACAGGAUUAGAAACCCUAGUAGUCC
rnacentral:rRNA from 1 species